ensembl:lncRNA
GGAAGUACUGUGGCUGGACGGAAGUUACCUCAGAUUAUUUUCUAUAGACAAAUAAACCUCCGGAGAACAACACCCUGGCGUGACAACAACCCAGGCGCGACGGAAGUACACGUUCCCCUGACGAUAUGUUUAAGACAUUUCUAAAGGCAGUCACAUUCCCCUGACUUUUAGUCAAGUAGUCAUGCGCUCAUCACAUGUCAUCAGAUCUGAAAUAUAUGGAAAGUGUUUUCGAAAGUUAUCAUUCACUCUUAAGAUACCAUUGGACGCCAGUGAAAUGUGUUCAUUUAUGACACACAAUGGCCACAUCAAUAUUUUACAUGGUGACAUGUGAGAUAGCUGAAAAUCACAUAAAGCUAAUCCCUUUGUAAAGGCUGCAGUAAUUGAAUAGGUAGGCCUACUUUGUAAACCACUACAUUACAGAGAUCUCGCAGAGCAGCUUGUUCCAGGAACUUGGUUUGAGAAAACUGGACAUGAUAUCGAGGGAUUUCCACCACAGGAAUAUGGGAAUGACUGUGGGAUCUUCAUGAUUAUGUACGCUUGGUACCUUGCCAUGGAGGCACCAUUUGACUUCACUGUUAAAGACAUGCCAGUCCUUAGAAAAUGGUGGUGCACAGUACUCCUUGAGAACUUCCACCUGGAUGGGCACGGCAGAAUGUUCGCACACUUCACAGAGGAGGCCAAACAAAUGGCGGUUGGACUACUUCAACCAGUCUUCAGACUGAAGCGAAAAAGAGAAGUGAAUGACGUUUCCAGUGACAGAAUACAAAUAAUAUAUUGUAUAGGCUUAAUAUUGACUUGACUGAUUCUUUUGACAGUGAGUUGGAGCUGAUGGCAGCAUGGCAGCAUUAUUUGUUGAAUAAAUUGUGAGGAAACUUUGGUGUGGUUAUUCUUCAAUGUAUCUUUAUAUCAAAU